AUGACACAAAAUCGCUCACAUCCCCCUGCCAUGUCGUCAGAUAUGAUGGCACAGGAUCACACUCUGACAGAUGAUACAAUUUCAUCUGAGGAUAAUUCAUACAUUCAUAUAUUUAUUUCUUUGUGCUAUCAUUAUUGUUGUGUCACGUGUCAUAUGUAUCAUAAACAUUCCAUUUGCCAUUCUCAGAUGCAGGUUGGUUCUUCUAUAGUAAACGCAACAUCCGUAUUUAGUCAUCAAAUGUCUUGUCUAUGUUUGUUGAUUUCUUUCUGCUUUGUUACCAGUUUGUGUUCUCUUUCCUAUGUCUCUUUGCGAAACCUCAUAUUACACCUUGACCCAACUAAUAUCCCAAUUGUGGGCAUGUGGCUUGCACUUAAUUUCUAUUGUGACAGAAUUGUGAUGUUUCAUUUUGUUCUUGAUGGUGGAUAG
rnacentral:rRNA from 1 species